rnacentral:rRNA from 1 species
UGAUCCCUACGGGGCGCAGCAGUGAGGAAUAUUGGGCAAUGGGCGGGAGCCUGAACCAGCCAAGCCGCGUGAAGGAAGAAGGCGCCAGGCGUCGUAAACUUCUUUUGUCGGGGAACAAAGGGCGCCACGCGUGGCGUUGUGAGUGUACCCGAAGAAAUAGCAUCGGCUAACUCCGUGCCAGCAGCCGCGGUAAUACGGAGGAUGCGAGCGUUAUCCGGAUUUAUUGGGUUUAAAGGGUGCGUAGGCGGUCCGGAAAGUCAGCGGUAAAAGUCCGGGGCUCAACCC